rnacentral:tRNA from 1 species
GGGUCGGGCCUGUAAUCGGCAAAGGGUUCGCAAUCCUCGAACCCGUGCCGGCGAUAGAGCGCCAGCGCGGGUUCGAACGCCGCGCCCGAUCCG